rnacentral:lncRNA from 11 species
GUUUAAUUCCAGGUGCAGAAGCCCAAGCCAAAAUAGUUUUCCUUGGUUCCAAAGGACUUAGGUUCUGGCAAGUCUCCAGUGGAAGAUUGUAGCGCAGCCACUGAGAGGAUUCUUUCAUAGUGCCUUCCAUUGAUGGAAAAUUCAAGAGGUCACUUUAAGGCAUUUUUAUGGAUUGUGGCACGGCAUACAGAAGACAUGAAGAUGAAAGAAGGAAAAUAUUCUGUUUUACUUGCCCUAUUGACAGGUGGCCUCAUCACCCUGAACAUUACAGACCACCUUGAAGAUACCCGCGUCAAGGGCCUUUGAAGUCCGAAUAAUCAGCCAGCCAUUUGAUACUCCAUCAGAUGAAAUAACCUUGUCAGAAAAGGCCAGCUCUCAGGUAUACUGAUUGUCUAUCAAAUGGGGGAUAACUUGAUACACUUUACUGGUGAAGACCCAUGGACCUUUUGCAGGACAAUGUAGCAGAUGCUUUUUUACAGCCAAUUUCUUUUCAACAAGACAACUGCC